rnacentral:rRNA from 1 species
CCUACGGGAGGCAGCAGUGGGGAAUAUUGCUCAAUGGGGGAAACUCUGAUGCAGCGACGCAGCGUGAGUGAUGAAGUAAUUCUUUACGUAAAGCUUCAUUUGUAGGGAAGAAAAUGACUGUACCUGAGUAAGUAGCUCCGUCUAACUACGUUCCAGCUGCCCUGGUAAUACGGAGGCGGCAAGCGUUAUCCGGAUUUACUGGGUGUAAGGGGAGCGUAGACGGUGUGCCAAGUCUGGAGUGAAAUGCCGCAGCUUAACUGCGAAACUGCAUUGGAAACUGGCGAACUAGAGUACGGGAGGGGUAAGCGGAAUUCCUGGUGUAGCGGUGAAAUGCGUAGAUAUCAGGAAGAACUCCGGUGGCGAAGGCAGCUUACUGGACCGUAACUGACAUUGAGGCUCGAAAGCGUGGGGAGCAAACAGGAUUAGAUACCCGAGUAGUC